rnacentral:rRNA from 1 species
CACGUAGGGCGCAAGCGUUGUCCGGAAUUAUUGGGCGUAAAGAGCUCGUAGGCGGUUUGUUACGUCUGCUGUGAAAUCCUAGGGCUUAACCCUGGGCUUGCAGUGGAUACGGGCAGACUAGAGGUAGGUAGGGGAGAAUGGAAUUCCUGGUGUAGCGGUGAAAUGCGCAGAUAUCAGGAGGAACUCCGGUGGCGAAGGCGGUUCUCUGGGCAUUACCUGACACUGAGGAGCGAAAGCGUGGGGAGCGAAAAGG